GAAGAGCUUGCUCAGAUAUGACGAUGGACAUUGCAAAGAGUGGCGAACGGGUGAGUAACACGUGGGAAACCUACCUCUUAGCAGGGGAUAACAUUUGGAAACAGAUGCUAAUACCGUAUAACAAUAGCAACCGCAUGGUUGCUACUUAAAAGAUGGUUCUGCUAUCACUAAGAGAUGGUCCCGCGGUGCAUUAGUUAGUUGGUGAGGUAAUGGCUCACCAAGACGAUGAUGCAUAGCCAAGUUGAGAGACUGAUCGGCCACAAUGGGACUGAGACACGGCCCAUACUCCUACGGGAGGCAGCAGUAGGGAAUCUUCCACAAUGGGCGAAAGCCUGAUGGAGCAACGCCGCGUGUGUGAUGAAGGGUUUCGGCUCGUAAAACACUGUUGUAAGAGAAGAAUGACAUUGAGAGUAACUGUUCAAUGUGUGACGGUAUCUUACCAGAAAGGAACGGCUAAAUACGUGCCAGCAGCCGCGGUAAUACGUAUGUUCCAAGCGUUAUCCGGAUUUAUUGGGCGUAAAGCGAGCGCAGACGGUUAUUUAAGUCUGAAGUGAAAGCCCUCAGCUCAACUGAGGAAUUGCUUUGGAAACUGGAUGACUUGAGUGCAGUAGAGGAAAGUGGAACUCCAUGUGUAGCGGUGAAAUGCGUA
rnacentral:rRNA from 1 species